rnacentral:rRNA from 1 species
CAGCCGCCGCGGUAAUACAGAGGGUGCAAGCGUUAAUCGGAUUUACUGGGCGUAAAGGGCGCGUAGGUGGUUAUGUAAGUGAGAUGUGAAAUCCCCGGGCUCAACCUGGGAACUGCAUCUUAUACUGCGUAGCUGGAGUGCAGUAGAGGGUAGUGGAAUUUCCGGUGUAGCGGUGAAAUGCGUAGAUAUCGGAAGGAACACCAGUGGCGAAGGCGGCUACCUGGACUGACACUGACACUGAGGCGCGAAAGCGUGGGGAGCAAACAGGAUUAGAUACCCCUGUAGUCCCUGUCUCUUAUAC